rnacentral:rRNA from 1 species
GUCCUUGCCGUAAACGAUGUGGAUUAGGUAUCGGAGGUGUCGAUCCCUCCGGCGCCGCAGCUAACGCAUUAAAUCCACCACCUGGGGAGUACGGUCGCAAGACUGAAACUCAAAGAAAUUGACGGGGACCCGCACAAGCGGUGGAGCAUGUGGUUUAAUUCGAGGCUACGCGAAGAACCUUACCCAGGCUUGACAUGCUUUUGACAGCCCAUGAAAGUGGGUCUUCUCGCAAGAGACAAUUGCACAGGUGCUGCAUGGCUGUCGU